GCAUCUAUGUGUGAUGAUGUGUGGAAGAGGAGAUGGACAAGACUAAAGGAAAUUAUCCAGGUCCCCACUGACAGUGCUAAGUGACACGUGGGCCAUGGCAGAAUGUGGAGAAACAGCUGGGAACAGAGAACUCCACAACAAACCUGCAAUGGGUCUUUUCCUAAAUAUAUUAGUGAUAGGUGGCCCUAAAAGUGGAGAGAAACACUGGCUCAGGUGCACCUGCCCGAAAAGAGGAGAAGGACAAUAUCAGGAAAUGAAAUCCUAGAAGCAUACCCAUGGCUGAAGAGAACAUUCUGGCAGAAAGAAUUGUUCUGCUGUUUUGAAGUAACACAAAUCCCUCAAGAUGAAGAACUAGAUUUGGAGGUGGACCAGCAGAAGGUAUCUGUCUUCUCUUGCUUCAGUAGACUAGAAGAGGACGUACAUUUUUAGCCUACACACUCUUUGUGAAAUAAACUGCAUCCCCAAUUUUGAAAUUGACAGAUUGUUUGGCUUCAAUGACAUGACACAACUUCAGGUGUGACUCAUUUCCUCCCUUGAUAAGUGAAAUUAUGAUGUCACGUACACAUGCCAUUGUUAGGUACACAUAGGCUUGUGGGACUUCCAUGCUCUUAGGAAAUAUAUGCGGUGGGAGUAUUUGGCCCA
rnacentral:lncRNA from 1 species